GUAAGUGUCAGGGGAGGGUGUGAGAAAACAGCAAACUGGCUGUGCCUGAGAGAAGGGGACCUGUCUAAUACACUGCCAGGAACAUCACAGAAUGAGCUGAACAGGCCAUCAGGCAGCCUGCCAUGGGGCCCUGCUCCAAGAACAGGUCCUUCUGCCGGGCAACUGUGCUCCUGGUAUUCAUCAGCCUCCUCCUCACACUGUUCUAGGAAAAACCCCGGAAAGAAACAGGAGGGGCCCAUCAAUUCAGGAACAAUUGAACAAGCUGAGGAGUAUCUGUUCCAUGGCAUAUGACAGAAGCUUACAAAAGCAAAUGUUCUAGUUAUCUGAAAGGAAUGUUCAGCUUCCAUGAGGCACUGGGGUUAGAAGAUUGCUUAACAAAGAAAAAGAAGGAAGGAAGGAUGAAAUGAAGGAUGGGAGAAGGAGAAGGAAGAAGUAAAGACAGAGAGAGAAAGAAAGAAGGAAACAACUUAGAAUUUCUCUCAUUUUAGGGGUAAGAGAUCUGUGUUCAGACAAGGAAAGUGAUUCUCUCAGGGAACCACUGGGAAGGAAUGAAAUUGAAAUUGGUUGUUCCAUCAGGCCUGACCUCUGUGGUACUGAAUAAGACAAGCCCCCUUGCAGUGAAGUUUGGUCAGAGGCUGUCUGUGGAAGGAACAUCACUGUGAAAUUGCUGUGUCCUCUUAGGAAUCCUGAAGCUCCAGAGUUGGAUACAUUUUUUCUGUGGUUUCUGGAGUAUCCCUGUUCCAGUUCACCCUUGACCUAGGGAGAGGGAUGGGUGGUGAAGCAGUGAUGAUGAAGGUGGGGAUGAGAUAUUUGUCCUAAUCAUUCUUAAACUUUUACACCUUCCUGAACAUGUGUUUAAAUGGAAAAAUGUGGAAGGGAAGGAAGGAGCCUGAAGGUGAUUCAGUUCACAUGUAAUUUCCCAGAGACACAGGCAGCUGCAGGUGAGGGUGGUACACAACUUUUGGGGACCUCUUAAGGGAGGAGACCACCCCUCAUAUUGUCUUGUGCCCAAUUUCUGCCUCCAAAGAAAGAAGAAGUAAAAACUAAAAGUCAGAAAUGAAAUCCACAGGCAGACAGCCCAGCGCCACAC